rnacentral:misc_RNA from 1 species
GGAAGUAUAAGUCGUAACAAGGUUUCCGUAGGUGAACCUGCGGAAGGAUCAUUACAGUAGUCACCCAGGUUGCCGCAAGGCCUCCUGGGUAACCUACCACCCUUUGUUUAUUACACUUUGUUGCUUUGGCAAGCCUGCCCUCGGGCUGCUGGCUCCGGCCGGCGAGCGCUUGCCAGAGGACCUAAACUCUGUUUGUCUAUACUGUCUGAGUACUAUAUAAUAGUUAAAACUUUCAACAACGGAUCUCUUGGUUCUG